rnacentral:rRNA from 1 species
AGCGAACGCUGGCGGCAGGCCUAACACAUGCAAGUCGAACGAACCCUUCGGAGUUAGUGGCGGACGGGUGAGUAACACGUUGGAACGUGCCUUUUGGUUCGGAAUAACUCAGGGAAACUUGUGCUAAUACCGAAUGUGCCCUUCGGGGGAAAGAUUUAUCGCCAUUAGAGCGGCCCGCGUCUGAUUAGCUAGUUGGGGAGGUAACGGCUCACCAAGGCGACGAUCAGUAGCUGGGCUGAGAGGAUGACCAGCCACACUGGGACUGAGACACGGCCCAGAAUCCUACGGGAGGCAGCAGUGGGGAAUCUUGCGCAAUGGGCGAAAGCCUGACGCAGCCAUGACGCGUGAAUGAUGAAGGUCUUAGGAUUGUAAAAUUCUUUAACCGGGGACGAUAAUGACGGUACCCGGAGAAGAAGCCCCGGCUAACUUCGUG